rnacentral:misc_RNA from 1 species
CUAGAUCAAGAACCGCCAAAGAAAUUGUUAAAAAUCAAUCUUCAUCUUCCAAUCAUUUGUUACAAUGUGUCUGCAUCCGUUGAUAGAGGAUGGAUGGAUUUGAGGUUGAUGUAAUAUAACACAAUUAGUGGACGAAAAGACUGCACGCACUGAUCCUUCCUUUCAAUUGUUUCACAAUUACCUUGCAGUCUUGAGCUAUCUAUGCUUUGUUCUAAUUCUUACUUAAUGCCUAAAUCCACUAUAACCACUCCCUGGUCCACUAUUAUAAUCGCCUGGCCUGUGCCAAAGCAGGAUUGAUAUGAGACAUUUCCUAGAUCUACAUGCAAUUGUGACUUUUUUCUUUGUUCAUUAGUUAGUGACAAGCUACCUUGAGCUGCAAACAUUGAACUCAUAAAUCAAGCUACAGUCCAAUUUUCCAAUGGAAUAAUCACAUGAGCAUUCUCCACUCUUUUCGCAUACUCAAUAUGACACUGCAUUAGGGCAAUAUCUAUUUCCAACACCGACUGGUGGCUAAUUCAGACCUGCAAAUGGAAUUCUGAGAAAUGACAGGCGGGAAGCUUCAGGUAGCUUCUUGCCCUAAAAGAUCAUUUCUAAAGCAGAAACUAUACAUGGAACCACACGAACGUGCAGCUUCUUUCAGCACUUAAUCCAGAAACCUCCGAAUUUCUGACAGUUAAACAACAGGAAAGCCUGCCUGCUGUCCAAUGCUCCCCCAAAAUCCAACGAAGGCCUCAAAACUAUAGAGGAGCAUAUCUGCACAUUUAAUGCACCAAUAAUAGACUUAUGCACUUUAAACUUUGUUAGAGGCGAUACAAUGUCAAAACAACAGAAAGAAGAAUCUAAAAUAACAUCUAGUUCGAGAAUUCUAAAGUCUAAAUGACAUAAUAUUUACAAUUGCCAAUAAGUCAAGCAAACAAAUGAGAGCGCACAAGAUAACAAAAAGGAGAAAGCGAAAUUGAAUGACAAGAAGUUAAUAUAAGCAAACACCUUUAUACAUACUAAAAGCAUAUGUAUGAAACAUAAAAGAUCAUAAUUGAUAAUAUCAUGGAUUGUUUUCCCAUCCGUGUUCUAAAAUUAGCUAUAUAAAAUUAGCAAGGCACGACCCAAUAAAUCGGCCACGAAAAUGCUACCCUGCACUCCUGUCUUCCUAUCUGUUGUAACUGGAAGUCAGAACGGGUAACCUUAAAUUUGGUGGGUCUGCUAAACUUAGUCAAACAGCUUCCUGCUGCCUUCAAAGCUUCAUCAAACUACAUCACCCAGGUCCAGACAACUGGAUGUAUAACAGAUACAUCCCAAACCAGCUAGAUGCUAAAUCACCUUCUGCACCCAAUAAAAAAGCCUAGUCAUGAUGAACCAGACCCCAGAGUAGCAGAACCCAACGACACAAGAUCAAUGAAACAGUAAGUAGUAAUACUACACAAUCAUAUAAGCAGCAAACCCUUAAUUACCCCCAAGCAGAAUGUCAAGCUUCUGUCAUGGAUAGCUGCCAGCCAGUAAAGUUACGUAUAUUAACAGUUAGAACUCACAAAUUUACUUAUCUCAUCCAUGACAGUAUGAAAGUGAUUGUUAUUGGGCAAUAAGUAGAAGCCAAUUGUUGCUUGCUCAAGAUAUAGAAGUUUCACCACUUGGCCAGCCUUCUUAAGCCCCUCAACAUAAGCCAAUUGCCAAUCCUGAAUAAGGUCCAAACCAGCCACCACAACAAGACUCUUAGGGAAUUUCACUCCUUUAAGGUUUUUACCUUUGGGACCAAAUGGAUUACAUGCUGGAUGAUCCCUAUCUGCCCCCUCAGGCAGGAAAGCUCGCCAAUACCAGUCCCGGUCUUGGAGAGUGACAAAAUAUUUUCCAUCUAGUCGCUUCUCUGAUUCUGUUCUCUCUUGCCCAGCAAACAUUGGGUUUAGUAGAAUAUUCCCCAAUAUGUCAAUACCUGAUUCCACUGCUCUUAAUGCAACAUGAUGUGCAAUGUUACCACCAGAGCUAUCCCCUGCCAAGUAUAUAUGAACUUUGGAAUCUUUCUUACUCUCAAGCCAUGUUCUUGAGUUAACCCACUUAAGAGCUGUCCAUCCAUCAUCAUAAGCACAAGGGUAUCGAUUUUCAGGUGCACGCCUAUAAUUCACAGAGACUACCACUGCCUUGCAAAUACCCACUAGUCGGCGGCACAACGUGUCAUAUAUAGCACUGUUUGCAGAGGAGUGUGCAAAGCUUCCACCAUGAAAGAAGAUAAUGACAGGGACAACCUCAGAGCUUACAGGCUUCUCAAGUUCAGCCAUAUUUGGUUGUGAUGGCUCCCCAUCAGUCAGUCGAUAUAUCCUGCUAAGGAGGCUAGUCCCACGGUCAAUGACAACAUCAAAAGAGAAAAUUCCAUCAACUGGUUUUGCAUUGGCUGGAACUUUCCGGUCAAGGAACUCUGCCAAGUGGCGAUUGAAAGUGCCAUCAGGGCGACGAAGAAGAUUGUAAGCCAGCUUGAAAUUGGAUAUGAGGACCCACGUGUUCAGUGGAACCACCAUCUUGCUUUCAUUGAUGUUAACUUCAUUACCCCCAGCCAUGAAACUAUGCUCUUUCAAAAUUCAAAAGCAAUAGCCAAUAACACGAAACAGAUCCUUUUAGAGACCAACCAGCUUCACAUACUGAAAACGAACAUAAAAGAAUUGAUCUUCACUCAGACUCAUGAUCGAAGAUUAUAAAACCCAAAAACGAAAGAGCAGCCUUUAAAAUUGCUAGUCUCUCCAGCUCUUUUUUCUUUCUUUCUUCUGCUUCCGAGUUUUUUUAAACAGAAAGAUCGAUAAACGAUAACAAUAAAUGGUAAAUCUCACUGCGAUAAAACUGUUUAAGAGAGAGACAACCAGAGCAGAAAUGGGCUAAGGAUAACGAAAUAGG